UAGCCAGACUCCUACGGGAGGCAGCAGUGAGGAAUAUUGGUCAAUGGCCGAGGGGCUGAACCAGCCAAGUCGCGUGAGGGAAGAAUGUCCUAUGGAUUGUAAACCUCUUUUGUCAGGGAGCAACGCCGGCUACGUGUAGCCGGACUGAGAGUACCUGAAGAAAAAGCAUCGGCUAACUCCGUGCCAGCAGCCGCGGUAAUACGGAGGAUGCGAGCGUUAUCCGGAUUUAUUGGGUUUAAAGGGUGCGUAGGCGGGCUGUUAAGUCAGCGGUCAAAUGUCGGGGCUCAACCCCGGCCUGCCGUUGAAACUGGCGGCCUCGAGUGGGCGAGAAGUAUGCGGAAUGCGUGGUGUAGCGGUGAAAUGCAUAGAUAUCACGCAGAACUCCGAUUGCGAAGGCAGCAUACCGGCGCGCAACUGACGCUCAUGCACGAAAGCGUGGGUAUCGAACAGGAUUAGAUACCCCGGUA
rnacentral:rRNA from 1 species